rnacentral:rRNA from 1 species
GGUGGCGGCGUGCUAUACAUGCAAGUCGAGCGAGCAGAACCAGCAGAUUUACUUCGGUAAUGACGCUGGGGACGCGAGCGGCGGAUGGGUGAGUAACACGUGGGGAACCUGCCCCAUAGUCUGGGAUACCACUUGGAAACAGGUGCUAAUACCGGAUAAGAAAGCAGAUCGCAUGAUCAGCUUAUAAAAGACGGCGUAAGCUGUCGCUAUGGGAUGGCCCCGCGGUGCAUUAGCUAGUUGGCAAGGUAACGGCUUACCAAGGCAAUGAUGCAUAGCCGAGUUGAGAGACUGAUCGGCCACAUUGGGACUGAGACACGGCCCAAACUCCUACGGGAGGCAGCAGUAGGGAAUCUUCCACAAUGGACGCAAGUCUGAUGGAGCAACGCCGCGUGAGUGAAGAAGGUUUUCGGAUCGUAAAGCUCUGUUGUUGGUGAAGAAGGAUAGAGGUAGUAACUGGCCUUUAUUUGACGGUAAUCAACCAGAAAGUCACGGCUAACUACGUGCCAGCAGCCGCGGUAAUACGUAGGUGGCAAGCGUUGUCCGGAUUUAUUGGGCGUAAAGCGAGCGCAGGCGGAAGAAUAAGUCUGAUGUGAAAGCCCUCGGCUUAACCGAGGAACUGCAUCGGAAACUGUUUUUCUUGAGUGCAGAAGAGGAGAGUGGAACUCCAUGUGUAGCGGUGGAAUGCGUAGAUAUAUGGAAGAACACCAGUGGCGAAGGCGACUCUCUGGUCUGCAACUGACGCUGAGGCUCGAAAGCAUGGGUAGCGAACAGGAUUAGAUACCCUGGUAGUCCAUGCCGUAAACGAUGAGUGCUAAGUGUUGGGAGGUUUCCGCCUCUCAGUGCUGCAGCUAACGCAUUAAGCACUCCGCCUGGGGAGUACGACCGCAAGGUUGAAACUCAAAGGAAUUGACGGGGGCCCGCACAAGCGGUGGAGCAUGUGGUUUAAUUCGAAGCAACGCGAAGAACCUUACCAGGUCUUGACAUCUAGUGCCAUCCUAAGAGAUUAGGAGUUCCCUUCGGGGACGCUAAGACAGGUGGUGCAUGGCUGUCGUCAGCUCGUGUCGUGAGAUGUUGGGUUAAGUCCCGCAACGAGCGCAACCCUUAUUAUUA